ACACUUGCUGCUCCUGUCUUGCCCUGCUUUCACCUUCAUUCCUGAGGCUAUGUCCUCACAUCUUUGUCCUUCACUCAUGCACUAUUCCUGUCCCUCUGUCUACCUCCCCUCUUCGGUCUCCUUCAUCUCUCAUUAACAUCACAUCUGCAGCCAAGCUACAUUCUCUUACUCACAGGAAAGGCUGCUCACUUCACUUUGCUCUUUCCUAUCUCCUGCCUUUGCUUUCCAUUGAUUUUCCAGUUUCUCUCUAUAUAAUCUUUUAAUCUUUGUCUUCACACCCAGUCAUUAUGCAUAUGUUUUUUUGCAGUUUCCAUCCUGUCAUCACUGACUACUUGUAUUCUUCUGGGUCCCACUCUGAGCUCCUCCCUCCCUUUAAUCUAUUGGCAUAGCUAUGAUUCUUUCCAUUAGACCUUGUUGUAUAGCAUCCAUUUUUCAUCUGGCUUCUCCAUCAUUUUUGUAUAAUUUGAGAUUUAAACCGUAGGCCUCCUCAGCUUGCUGAGACCUGGCUUCCAGGCUACAGCAUGUUAGGACAGCAGAGUCUCUUCCAUCUUCAGCAUGCUGCAUUAUGAACAAGCAAUUCAAGGAUUUCUUCAAAAUUCCCCUCGAGCUUCAGGGCAGAUUUUCUGCAACUACAAAGAGACGCCCAGGAACUUCACUAUCCAUCAAACUUUUCUUAAAAACUUCUCUAUCAGGAAGGCUGCAAAAAUAAGUAAAGAAAUGAAUAUAAAAUUAAUGCUAGCCAAGGCCUACUGAGGAUCCCUGCUGCAGUGCAUGGCAAUGGUUGACUACGUGGACCAAAAGGGAACAAUGGGCAUUGGGAGGACCCCCAGCAUGGCUAUAGGAGUGGAAGAAGGAUGUUGUGCUGUCCUCAUGCCUGGCAGCACACCCAAAACGGAGAGGUGCCUGGGCAAAACCUGGCUUUGCCUGCUAACCUGCCUGCUCUACCCAGAGGCUUCUGGCUGCCUUUUGUACAGGGAAGUGGGAAGGCUGCCCUGGGCAGAAUUUGUGACAGCUAAGGAGACCCAGGAAAUCCUGCUUUCUCUGCUGAGAUAGCUCAAAACAGGAAAAGCGUUCUUCCAAGGACACAGGGGUGAGAAAUAAGCAAAUCAAAGCAAGAAAACCAAAAGAAACGUACAAAAAUAGCCCUACACACAUCCAAUACAUCAUUUUUUUCUUGUUCUUCAUUGGACCCUAUGAAGGACGGGUAUUUUGCAAGUCUGACCUGUCUCUGAGGCCCUUUACAAGUUGUUCUUCACUGACACCAUUUAAAUGAAAUGUUUGGUUACCUGUAUCCCUUGCCUCUUUGUUCUUAAAAUGUGCUCUCGUAUUUUUACUAG
ensembl:lncRNA